rnacentral:rRNA from 1 species
UACGGGGGGGGCAAGCGUUGUUCGGAAUUACUGGGCGUAAAGGGCUCGUAGGUGGCCAACUAAGUCAGACGUGAAAUCCCUCGGCUUAACCGGGGAACUGCAUCUGAUACUGGAUGGCUUGAGUUUGGGAGAGGGAUGCGGAAUUCCAGGUGUAGCGGUGAAAUGCGUAGAUAUCUGGAGGAACACCGGUGGCGAAGGCGGGUCUCUGGACAGUUCCUGACGCUGAGGCACGAAGGCCAGGGGAGCAAACGGG